AGGAAUCUGCCUGGUAGUGGGGGACAACGUUUCGAAAGGAACGCUAAUACCGCAUACGUCCUACGGGAGAAAGCAGGGGACCUUCGGGCCUUGCGCUAUCAGAUGAGCCUAGGUCGGAUUAGCUAGUUGGUGGGGUAAUGGCUCACCAAGGCGACGAUCCGUAACUGGUCUGAGAGGAUGAUCAGUCACACUGGAACUGAGACACGGUCCAGACUCCUACGGGAGGCAGCAGUGGGGAAUAUUGGACAAUGGGCGAAAGCCUGAUCCAGCCAUGCCGCGUGUGUGAAGAAGGUCUUCGGAUUGUAAAGCACUUUAAGUUGGGAGGAAGGGCAGUAAGCGAAUACCUUGCUGUUUUGACGUUACCGACAGAAUAAGCACCGGCUAACUCUGUGCCAGCAGCCGCGGUAAUACAGAGGGUGCAAGCGUUAAUCAGAAUUACUGGGCGUAAAGCGCGCGUAGGUGGUUUGUUAAGUUGGAUGUGAAAGCCCCGGGCUCAACCUGGGAACUGCAUCCAAAACUGGCAAGCUAGAGUACAGUAGAGGGUGGUGGAAUUUCCUGU
rnacentral:rRNA from 1 species